GCCACACAACCCUGAAUGUGCCCUAUUUCCUCUGAUCUCAGAAACUAAGCAGGGUUGGGCUUGGCUAGUACUUGGAUGGGAGGGAGGAAUGUAAUUUUAAACCCCUAGUUUGGAAUUUUCUAGCCAGCA
ensembl:rRNA 5S_rRNA 5S ribosomal RNA